ensembl:lncRNA
AUGUAUGUAUUAAAAAAAUAUACGAUAUGUGCCCUUAUAUUAACAUACAUAUAUAUAUAUACGUACAUAUACAUGUGUGUGUAUGAAUUUAUCCAAUUUUUUUAUUUAUUUUUUUUUUUUUACCUAUUUUUUAAGGUUGAUAACGACAUUACAACGGAUAAAAGUAAAACCACAGAAAACUCUGAGCAUACUAAUAGGUUCAACAAAAACGCACGAAAUUACAGUGUAUCUGAAGUACAUACCAAUGAAGGUCUUCAUAAUGUAAAUAGUAAUAAAGGUGACAAUAAUAAUGAAGAGAAAAAUGUAAGUGACAGGUGGAAGCAUCUUAAACCUGAGGGUUUUCAUUUCUUUAAAAAUAAUAGGUCGAAUGACAAUAAUAAUAUUUUUUCUAAUAUUAAAAGAGAACAUUCAGCUUAUGAAGGGAAUUGGAGAAACAGAAAAAAUAUGAAUUUUUCAAAUUUUAGGAAUAACAAUUUGAACAACAAUGAAACGAAUAACUAUAUGGGAAGUACAGGUAGUACUGGUAAUAUGGAUAACAUGAAUAAUUCUAUGUUUAACAUGAAUCAAAGUUUUAAAAACAGUUUUAAUAGGAAUUACAAUAGAAAUAAUUUUUUUACAAAGAAUAUUAACCAAGAUGCUACAAAUAACAAUUUAACAAAUGGAAAUUUCAACAAUAAUAAUAUGACUGGAAGUAGCAAUACAAAUAAUGCAUUUGCAAGCAUGAAUUAUGCUAAUAAACAGAAAAAUAAUGAAUUUGGUUUUGGUAAUCAAAAUAAUGCAUUUCAAAAUAAUUACAACAAUAGCAACAAAGCAUUUUCGCAACUUAUGAACAAAAAUAAUAGAUACCAUAAAACAACUAAUCAAAUGAAUGGAAAUAGUUUUACUACUUUAAACAAUAAUACUAACUUUAAUGAAAAUAAAAAAAAUAAUUACAACCCUAAUUUUUACAACAAUAAUAAUAGUAAUAUGAAUAGAGGUAAUAGUAGUAAUAAUAAUUAUAGAAACAAAUGGAAUCAAACAAAUCCUUUUAACAAAAACCAAAGUGUAAAUGAUAAUAUGAACAAUAACUUGUUCGAUAUUGAUGCAAACGUAAAUGCAAACGUAAAUGCAAACGUAAAUGCAAACGUAAAUACAAACGUAAAUACAAACGUAAAUACAAAUUAUAAUCCUAUUAACCAAACGAAUAAUCAAUCCUAUGGCAAAAAUGCAAUGAAUAACAACAAUAAUGAAAACGAUACAAAUAUAAUAAACAAUGUAUACAGUACCAACACUUCUAACACCCCCCCAAUGUAUUUUAAUAACAUGCCUACCAAAGACGGUGUUACGAAUAAUUUUAAUAUAAAACAACCAAAUACUAGUGGAAUAACUCUCGAUUUUUAUUCUGGUGCACCAAUAAAUACUCGUGUCGUGCCCCCACCUCCUCCAACUCCACCUCCUCCUUCUGUUAUAUUUCCUCCUCUUUCUCCCCACCUUUCUCCUCCUCUUCUUCCCUCUCAUUCUUUUGCUACUAAUAAUACUACUACUAAUAUAAGUAACACAGUGUAUAACACUUAUAACAGCACACAAUUGACCAACAAUAUGAGCAGUGUGUAUAAUGUGAAUAAUAAUAAUAAUAAUAAUAGUAUCAGUAACAAUAAUAAUAAUAAUAAUAAUAAUAAUGAUAAUGAUAAUACUGCUGAAAAUAUUAUUACUAACAAUAAUAAUACUAUAAAUGAGAAUGAAGAUGAAGAAAAAGAAAAUAACGAAAACAAAGACGAAUGGGGGGAAUUAGGCGAAGACAAGUAUAUUGAUAUAACUUCUAUUAUUAAAAAAAAAGAUGUGAUUUUAAAUCAGUUAGGGGCUAAUUUGGAUAGUGACGGUAAAAAAGAGGCAGUAGAUAAUAAAAAUAAAAAAAAAUCUAAAUCAAAAAAUGAAAAUGGUCCAAAGUUAGUAAAAACAAAUGAAAAGAUCACAUCUACGUCUACAACAUCUGUUGGUGAAAAUAAAAAAAAAAACAAGAAAAACAAAAAUAAGAAUGCAAAAAAUAAUAAAAAAAAUAGUGAAGAAAACAAUAAAGUAGAUGACAAUAAUCCCAUUUGUGAAAAAAACGCUAAACAAGAAAAAACUUCGAUGCCAAUUAACAAUGGGUUAAAUGAAAGUGAAGAUGAUGAAAUAGACCAAAUUAUUAAAGAGCAUAAUAUUCCAAGCGACAGCAAAAGUGAAAUUAAUAUUACAAAAGAAAAUAAUGAUACUUGUAAAAUAGAAGAAAGUGAAAAAAAAGAACCAGUAGAAAAAGCAACCAAGUCUAUAUAUGUGAUAAAAAAAAAAAAAAACUUAUCACCACUUGAAUAUAUGGAACGGCAAAUAAAAAGUUUACUUAAUAAAUUAACUGUAGAAAAUUUUUCUAUUAUAACAGAUAAAAUAUGUCAGCUUGUUAGUGCUAUUACAGACAUUGAAGAAAUACAAAUUGUGGUUAAUGAAAUUAUAAACAAGGCUGUUUUGGAACACGAGUGGUCGGAGAUGUACGCUGACGUCUGUUUGGUAAAAUGGAAAACAUGGUUUUGAUAUGCACAUGAUGUAGCUAUUACAUUGUGAAAUAGAAUGAUUCAUAUAAAUAUAUAUAUAUAUAUGCAUAUGGAACAAUAUUUAUGGAGCCCAUAUAUAUUUUUUUUUUUUUUUUUUUUUUUUUUUCUGUUUUUUCUAUUUUUCCUGUUUUUGCUUUUUUUGUAGGUCCUUAAGUGGAGGUCACCCCAUUUUGAACACAAAAAAAAAUCUACCAUCGAAGUUGCACUAUUAAAAAAAAUCCAAAAGGAAUAUGAGAACCUACCCAUAUCAUUUGAAUGUACAUCAAAAGAGAAGUUAAAAAAUGACGAAAAUGAAAUUGAGUUAAGUUAUGUUGAACAAAAAGAAAAAAAAAAAUUAUUUGGAAUAGUAAAGUUAAUAGGAGAAUUAUUUCAAAGAAAAAUUGUAUCAGUUCAAAUUAUUAUGACUAUAGCUCAUGAUUUAUUAAUUAGAUAUAAAGAACCGAAAGAAUAUUGUAUAGAAGCAUUUCUUCAACUUAUUUAUUCAACAGGUUUUUUUAUCGAAAAAAUGCAAAAUUCAAAAAAUUCGCUAGACACAUGGUUUGGCCGAUUAAAGGAAUUACAAAGAAAAAAAAUGUAUUCGAAGAGAAUAAAAUUUGUUAUUCAGGAUGUAUUUGAUUUAAG